rnacentral:lncRNA from 1 species
UCAAUACGCAAGAUGCAGUUGUUUUGGAGACGCUUGAAAGUUUGGCACGGGAUCAAGAGAUAGGUGAAUCUUCUCGCCUGAAUGUUUCUUACAGCCAGCCAGUUUCUGGUAAAGCUCAAGAUGUAGAGCUGAUCAACAUGAGAGUGGACGAUGACAGCAUACUUGGCACGCAGACGAUAGGAUGUAUUCAAGCCAACGAUCUGAAUGAAGACAUCCACGAAGAUCUAAGCAAUGUUUUCAACAGUGCUGCCGUAGAGGAAACCAGUCCACCAAGAGAUUCUCCCACUGAUAUCAGCCAAGAAGGGGUGCUAGAACCUCCGCAUGAAAAAAUUCACAGUUUAACCCAAGUUGCACAGAAAAUUUAUGAUACUGAGGAUUCUUCUGUUCCAUCUGAAAAUCAAUCUUUCCAGUGUGAAAAUUCAAUGUCAAGAGAUGGAAGUCAAAAGACUGUCAGUAGUGGAAACAUUCCCCAAGUAGAUGGUGCACAUGAUUGUCUGGACGUAAUCUCUCCUUCUGAGAAAGUUUUGGUGAAAAAGCACCAACAAGAUGUUUUGAAGGAAUGCAAGGAUGCUUUCAAUCGUUAUGUAUUCUCUCCCGAAAAUAACUACAACUCAGUUUGCUCACCUUUCCACACCUCAGGUAGCAGUAGUCAACUUGGCUGUCUCUCUAGCAACAAAAAACGAAUGCCAAAAAGAAGCAAACCAAAGCGAAGACGAAACAAAUCACUGCCUCGUAAAAUACUAAAGAAUCUCUCUUCUGAAAGCGAAGAUUGUGGGAAUGAUGACUCGACCAGUGUUUGCUCAUCAAGCACUACUGAGUUGCAAAGUCAUAACCAUGUGGCUCAUGUGAUACCCAGGAGGUAAUUAUGGAUAUCAUCGGAGCCUCUGAACCAACUGCUUCAAUAUCUGAAAAUCCUGAAAGCUCUGAAGAUUGUGCUGUUGUUCUAGAACCCUUUGAAAGUUUAAUGGAUGUGAAUGAUGACAGACCCGAUGGAUGGUUCUAUGAAAGUUUUGAAGACUUCUAUAAAAGUGAAGGAGGAAAUGAUUGCUCCAGAGUUGCAUCAAAUCCACAAAAGAAAUAUCCCUAUUGGCCUAAAAAUGAGAGGAAUUGUGAUCAUACCGAAGCUUUCAACCAGGCAAAUGCUACCUUACAAUGUUUUGUCAACUUGUCUCUUAACAAUUUAUGUCAAGAAAAUAGUGCAGGAUUUCAAACCAUACAAAGUAGAAAGGAAUUAAAACCAGUCUCAGAAAUUUCCACUCCCAUAAAUUUCUCAAGGGAUGUUGUGAAGGAUAGCUUCUCGGCAACUUUGUCUCCAUCAUUUGAGGCUCCUAACUUAGAAACCAAAAACUUUCCGCAGAUGAUACCUAACAAUGAAGUCAAGGUAACUGUCACUGCAGAUGUUCACUGUGUGGGGAGCAAGCCAGCUUUUACUUCUUCAAGAGGAAAGAGGAAAAAUGUGCCUAGUAGACUUAAAAAAUUCCAAGCAGAAUUUCUAGGAGCUUUAUCAUCUACCAGUAAAGAUGCCGAGCUAUAUGAAAUAACCGCAGCACCAUUAGAACCCAAUAAGUCUUCUGCCUGUAAAACAGUCAUCCCUUUGAUGAGAAAAAAACCAAGAAAGCGCAAAAAUGUUUUCAGGGAAAAGAAAAAGAAGAAGAAGAUUCACCUGAAAAGAAGAAACUUAGUAUCUAAGAAAUGUUUUGAUGUGGUCCUGCCACAUUCUCUAAUUGGAAAGACGCCACGGGUGAGGGACCCAAAUUCAAGAUCUUGCGAAAUAAUGCUUCACGAAGUUUCCUCGUGCACUGAAGAAAAAGAGUCAUUUAGUCCUACAGCUCUAGAAGAAUCAUUAAACUCAAACAAGGGGCCAAGAUCAUCUUCUGUAUUUGAGAAAUCUGGAACUUCCCUCUCUACUGCUUCGAAUAUCUUACCACCAGAAGGAGAUGAGACGAGUGUAUUUUCUUUGAAGGAUGCCUCUGGAAAUUCUCUCUCUACAAUCUCAGAUUUCCUAUUACAGGAAAAGAACACCAAUGACAAAACCACUGUCAAUUUUAUCGCUCUAGAAGAAAAGAAUGCUCAGCCAGAGCAAUUUAAACCACUCACUCAAAACCCUUCCUCAACAGUAGCGAAUGAAAUGCAACAAUCAUUUGCUGAGGCUCAGGUAGAAAAUACGGUCUAAGAAAGUGUAGUGUCAGACUUGAAAGAUUACCAAGUCGACUCUCAGCGGAAAACUCUAAGUGCAAUUCAGAAGUUUGCUUAUCCGAACAGGAGUUCUUUUCAAAAACUCUGUGUCCAUUGAAAACAUUGGACUUCAAAUCUGUUAACCUACCAGAAAGUAUCUCGAAUGCCCGAAUGUUGGUGUCUCAAAAAGUAAUGGAGCGUUCUCCGAAUGUCAAAUUAAAAACUUCUCAAACUGAAAAUACAGCUGAAAAAAAGGGUAAAAUAGAAAGUUCUAAUCACAGCAAAGCUUGGAACAAUGAGGAGUCCAGCACAAAAGCUAUCUCUAACCCAAAUAUUAGCCCCCCGAGUUUUCGGCUGACCUUAAUGAAAGCAACGUCACACCGAAGAUAUUGAUAAACAACAGAACAGAGUUGCAAAGUGUUCAACAUCCAUCUCCUAUGGAAGCAUCUGAAUAUGAAAUUUCUUUUUCCAAUUCCCAAGUUGAUGGAGGUCUCAAUCUGGUAAAUUCAAAUGAAAGUGACCAAUCUCAUGCCCUCUCAAAUUUUACGACAACCACACAAUUGUCACUGACAGAGGAAAAUUUUAGCAUCCUAAAAAACACUCAAGUUUCAGAAUCUGGUGCAGUUAAGUCUGUGCCUUGCUCCAAACCUGGAAGAAUGAAGGCAAGAUUGGAGGAAUCAACUCUUCUAGAUCAAGAACCUAUUGAAAAACAAGUUUCUGAACUUUUGUUAUGCAAGAUACCUACCCCAAAGCUUAGUCCUCUCUCCCUAAGUCAGCAAUUUAAUCCCUGUACUGUACAAAAAUUAGACUGCUCAAAUCAUCUGGUACAAAUAGAACAACGAGAGAUGAAACUUAUUGCUACAAAAGGUACAAAAAAAUCAGUCAAAUCUCAGAUCUGAAACCAAUGCACUUGGUGGUGUCGCCUUUAAAAGUAAACGUAUAUGUGCUAUUGAUGCAUUGAAAAAAAUCAAAGACUUAAGAACCAAAAUUAAAGAAAUGCCUCCUGAUGGUAAGUCAAUUCAUUGUGAAUCUAAUCUGGAAACUCAAAACAUGAGUCACCUUCCAGUAAUUAAAAGUCUCACCAAAGGAAGAUUAAGUUCGUCUGUAGGUUGUCAAACAGUCGAAAGCAAUCCUCCUGUUUGGGAUGGCCCAAAAAGUUUAGUCCCUUAUCACGAUGUUAGUAAUAUUGACUUGCUUCAAAGAUCAACAGGUACAAAUUCUAAUUCAAGGUUUUUUGAUCAAAUCCUACACUCUUUUCAUAGGAACUGGUAUCGUGAACUUCAGGAAUUGUCUGAUUCUCGCAACAUUCACGGUCCAAGUUUCUCACUAUCAAACACUUCCGAUUCGUCUGAUGUCAAAGCUAUCAUGACUUUUCGUCAGUGUAAUUUUCUGCCUGGUUUGACUGGUGGAACGGCAAGAGUGUCUCCAGUCGAUGCCGAAGAUAUGGCAUCUUGUAGUAAAUCAAUACUUGGGAAAAGGAAACAAGAGAACAAAGAAAAUUUUGGCACUGAUGUCCAAUAUGGGAACAAUAAUAAUGUAGUAGCUGUAAAAAAAGCCCUGGUAGCACUAGGUAACUGUAGGGUUAUCGUUGAAAGACUACCAUGUGACAUGGGCUUCAAGGCUGAUUACAGCGUCAGAUGUGUCUCCAAUGGCUUAACACCAGACUCAAGCAAAAAAGUCUUGUCUCAGUGUUUUCAUUUGCAAAAAAGCUUUUCUAAUGGUUCUAGUUUAUACCAUUGGGCUCUAGAUGGCACUAUCGACUUAUCCUCUGAUACCUCUGAUGAAGAUCUGAAACAGAAUUCAUUAAAAUCCAUUCAAAAUGCUCUGGAGAAUAACUCGCAGUCUUCAAAUUGUUCUGAUCUCAGUGAUUGUUUGUCCUCUGAAAAGUCCUCGCCAGAAAGAAGAAUCAAGCUCAGAAGGUCAAAUUUCCCAAAUGUUCAGUUCUGUUGAAACCUAUCCAGGUUGACCGGCCUCCAAACACAUGCUCAAGUAAAUCCCAAAGCUCCAAUGAAGUCAUAGUAGGAGAACUGCCUAGUUCUUCAUCAGGAAAUAAAAGAGAAAAAACCAAGAGAGGUAUCAGAAAAUUAUUACCAAGAAACAGGUCGUCACAAAUAUGUCAGGACCUGAUGAGAAGUUAACUAAACUGCAGCCUGUCGUCAAACUAUUCAAAUUAGAUUUCCAGAAAAUUAAAAAUGGCAUCUCUGCGUCUCAUGCUGAUUAUUUUUGCCUGUCGUCGGUGGAUCCACUUUGACAAGUAAGAAUGAGCUCUCUUCACCUCCUUUUUAUUGUAAUUUUCCUUGAGUUCUGUCAUGAGGCG